GACGUAGGGCGCGAGCGUUGUCCGGAUUUAUUGGGCGUAAAGAGCUCGUAGGCGGCUUGUCGCGUCGACUGUGAAAACCCGCGGCUUAACUGCGGGACUGCAGUCGAUACGGGCAGGCUAGAGUUCGGUAGGGGAGACUGGAAUUCCUGGUGUAGCGGUGAAAUGCGCAGAUAUCAGGAGGAACACCGGUGGCGAAGGCGGCAUCCUGGACCGGUAUUGACGCUGAGGCGCGAAAGCCAGGGGAGCAAACGGG
rnacentral:rRNA from 1 species